rnacentral:lncRNA from 1 species
UUUUUCAUAACUUCCAACCAUAGUUAUUGUUUUCUAUAUAAAAAACUUUAAAAUCAUAAAAUCAUAGCAUUUACAAUUUAAAUUACUUGUUUUAUGACCUAGUGGCCUGAAAUUUCCUAAAUCAUUCUGCUGUUUCUAGCAAUUUGGAAUAUUUAGUACAUAUUCAGGAUAGAACACACUAUUGUAAGUUUUCUUGAGAUAUUUUUGUUUUUCUAGCUUGUAUUUAUUAUGCCGUGGUGACAAAAAAGCAGAUUUAGGUGUUGCGGCUUACUUUUGGGUUAUCGAAAGGACACAAAUACCCCAUAAAUAAUAUUCAGGAAGGAUCUAUAAGUUUCAAUGACUGCGAAGAGUAAAUAUAAGCACUUCUUAACGAAUUUAACUUACAAAUAUGCAAAUAUUAUGAUUUAAUUUUGUAUCCAG